AAAAGGAUUCUCGAAAUAGAACUCUUUUCCCCCUACCCCCAAAACGAAAGUAGAAUAGCUCAGCAAAUCACUCCCAUUUCUUUCUUAUUUUCCCGGCGUCUUAAUUAUCACCAGCGGGAUGGACAGGAAGAAAAGUCUGGAAGACACAUUUAGGAACUUUGUCAUCGAUGCAGUUGUUUCCUGAUAACGGAUGGAGUGCCUGCUGUAUUGAGAUUAUGGGUGUGGGCCACAGUGCCCAGCCAGAUGUAUCUUCUAAUCCACCAAGGGAAUCUGAACUGUUAAUUAAUUGUUAAUUGUUAAAACAUUGCUGGGCAAAAUAGCCCCGACAUGCCGCUUGAAGCACCUGGGCAGCUCAGACAUGAACUUCCUAAACCAUGAAAAACAAGACAACAAAGAGGAUGGAAGACAGGGAGGAAAAAGUCAUCAAAGGAAAGCAGCGAGAAACCGAGAAACUGUGAAUAAGCAGAUGUGGUUGGAAGCAUACUAUUGAUGAAAAUCACCUCAGCUAAUAGACGUAGCUCAACCAAAACAUUGGCUUACACAAUUUGCUGGAAUUCUCUGUCUUCCACUAGCGGGCUUCAGCAGAAGAUCUGAACUCUCAGCUCCUCCUGCACCAUGCCUGUCUGGAUGCUGCCAUGCUGCCACCUUGAUGAUAAUGGACUCCUGCACCAUGCCUGCCUGGAUGCUGCCAUGCUGCCACCUUGAUGAUAAUGGACUCCUGCACCAUGCCUGCCUGGAUGCUGCCAUGCUGCCACCUUGAUGAUAAUGGACUCCUGCGCCAUGCCUGUCUGGAUGCUGCCAUGCUGCCACCUUGAUGAUAAUGGACUCCUGCACCAUGCCUGCCUGGAUGCUGCCAUGCUGCCACCUUGAUGAUAAUGGACUCCUGCACCAUGCCUGCCUGGAUGCUGCCAUGCUGCCACCUUGAUGAUAAUGGACUCCUGCACCAUGCCUGUCUGGAUGCUGCCAUGCUGUCACCUUGAUGAUAAUGGACUCCUGCACCAUGCCUGCCUGGAUGCUGCCAUGCUGCCACCUUGAUGAUAAUGGACUCCUGCACCAUGCCUGUCUGGAUGCUGCCAUGCUGUCACCUUGAUGAUAAUGGACUCCUGCACCAUGCCUGCCUGGAUGCUGCCAUGCUGCCACCUUGAUGAUAAUGGACUCCUGCACCAUGCCUGUCUGGAUGCUGCCAUGCUGUCACCUUGAUGAUAAUGGACUCCUGCACCAUGCCUGCCUGGAUGCUGCCAUGCUGUCACCUUGAUGAUAAUGGACUGAACCUCUGAACCUGUAAGCCAGCCCCAAUUACAUGUUGUCCUUAUAAGAGUUGCCUUGGUCAUGGUGUCUGUUCACAGCAGUGAAACCCUAGCUAAGAGAGUGAAUUCAGAUGUAGAAAUCUCCUUCAUCAGCAUCAUGUCUGCCUGCACGCUGCCGUGCUUUCCUCCGUGAUGACACGGAUUGAUCCUCUGAAACUGUAAACCAGCCCCAAUCAAACGCUUUUUAAUACAAGAGUUGCCAUGGUAAUGUGUUUCUUCAUAGCAAUAGGUCGCUAAGACCAGUGGUGUCUUGUUUUCCUGGUUAUUCAUGUUUCUUAGAGUCUUUUGUAGUUAUCUGUACAUUUGCACAAGAGAUUCUUUCCUCCAGGGUUUAUCAACUAUCUCUGACAUAGUGAUUAACUUUACCUCUGAGCUGGGGUGCAUUAAAGCAUACUUUGACUCUAAACCUAGUGAGCCAGGGCACGUGUGGAGGCUUUCAGUUCAGAGGGUAAUGAAUGUGUCUAUCAGCUCACACAGCUGGUAUCCAAAGUGUUGACAACUUGGCAGUCCUAUGCUGCGAGGACUGUUAGGGAUCCAGUGGCAAGGGCAGCAAUGGAGACAUGGGACACUCAGAUGCGUACACUUGGCCUCAAAGGCCAGCUGCAGGUAUCUGCUGGGUGACAAGUUUGGUGGCAGGCAAGUGCACAGCGGGAAAGUUUAGAGCACGAGAGGCUCAGAAGCCAUAGCUUGUAAAGGCAAAUAAAGACUCUUGGCUACAGAUUAAUGGAGUCCUCUUUGGAGCAAUGUUUUAAUUCUGUCACAUUAAAUAUUGUGAGUCCUCAGUGGUGAAAGUGUGAGGAGUUUGCAGCAGCUCCUGGGUCUGUUAAGUUUCCAGCAAAGAUGGCUCCAGAGUCCUCUUCUGAGGAGACUCUAAGGACAGCCAAGUCACAUACUCUAUUGCUGUCUCUUUUGCUCCGAGCUAUUUCCAGAUGCAUACUAUGCCAUUCUUCCUUAGUGAUCUGGGGAGAUCACCAGGCGAGUCUUUGAAAAGGUGUUCUGAAAGUUUGUGGGAUAUGGCUGUUCACCCAGCCUUUCUUUUUCUUAAGAGGGCAGUUCAUGGGCUGGUUAGUUUCUUCUCAGCCAGGGUAGUGAUGGGUUGGGGAGAGGUGUGUGAGUCAGGCAAAAUGAACCAUUUGCCCAUUGUUUUGAGGCAUUUUACUUGGGCGUUCUUCCUCCACCGUAUGCCUAUAUCUUUUACAAUGAUCACCCCCCAGUACUUCCAGAGAUAUUUACCUUCCUCGAUAGUUCAUUUGGUGGGGAGGGAGGAUGUUGUAAAAUCUGAUAUCUUACUCCAAUGUAUUGCUGUCAUCGAUUGCUACUGCCUGAUUGGAAAGCGUGACUCUAAAUCCCAGCCCUGCCUAUAACUCCAGUUUCAGUGAGUUUGGCACCCUCUCUUGGUCUUUAAAGCUCUUGCACAUACUCUCUUGUACACGUGCUCAUAAACUCAUGCAGGCUCGAACAGGUUCACAU
rnacentral:lncRNA from 1 species